rnacentral:rRNA from 1 species
GACAGAGGGUGCAAACGUUGUUCGGAAUUACUGGGCGUAAAGCGCGUGUAGGCGGUCGGGCAAGUCGGAUGUGAAAGCCCAGGGCUCAACCCUGGAAGUGCACUCGAUACUGCUCGGCUAGAGUCCCGGAGAGGAUGGUGGAACUCUCGGUGUAGAGGUGAAAUUCGUAGAUAUUCGCAGGAACACCAGUGGCGAAGGCGACUUGCUGGAUCUUUGCUGACGCUGAGACGCGAAAGCGUGGGGAGCAAACAGG